rnacentral:rRNA from 1 species
UACGAAGGGGGCGAGCGUUGUUCGGAAUUACUGGGCGUAAAGGGCGCGCAGGCGGCUCUGAAAGUCAGAUGUGAAAGCCCCGGGCUUAACCUGGGAAUUGCAUUUGAUACUCUGGAGCUUGAGUACGGGAGAGGAGAGUGGAAUUCCCAGUGUAGAGGUGAAAUUCGUAGAUAUUCGGAAGAACACCAGUGGCGAAGGCGGCUCACUGGACCGGUAUUGACGCUGAGGUGCGAAAGCCAGGGGAGCAAACGGG